GACGGGCCUCCUCGCAUGGAAGCGCGGCCAACCGGGUCAGGUCGGGAACGAAGCAGCCCCAACCGUU
rnacentral:SRP_RNA from 1 species